AUCGUAAUUACUGGGCGUAAGCGUACGCAGGCGGUCUGUUAAGUCAGAUGUGAAAUCCCCGGGCUUAACCCGGGAACUGCAUUUGAAACUGGCAGGCUAGAGUCUCGUAGAGGGGGGUAGAAUUCCAGGUGUAGCGGUGAAAUGCGUAGAGAUCUGGAGGAAUACCGGUGGCGAAGGCGGCCCCCUGGACGAAGACUGACGCUCAGGUACGAAAGCGUGGGGAGCAAACAGGAUUAGAUACCCUGGUAGUCCACGCUGUAAACGAUGUCGAUUUGAAGGUUGUGGCCUUGAGCCGUGGCUUUCGGAGCUAACGCGUUAAAUCGACCGCCUGGGGAGUACGGCCGCAAGGUUAAAACUCAAAUGAAUUGACGGGGGCCCGCACAAGCGGUGGAGCAUGUGGUUUAAUUCGAUGCAACGCGAAGAACCUUACCUACUCUUGACAUCCAGAGAAGUUUGCAGAGAUGCGAACGUGCCUUCGGGAGCUCUGAGACAGGUGCUGCAUGGCUGUCGUCAGCUCGUGUUGUGAAAUGUUGGGUUAAGUCCCGCAACGAGCGCAACCCUUAUCCUUUGUUGCCAGCGAGUAAUGUCGGGAACUCAAAGGAGACUGCCGGUGACAAACCGGAGGAAGGUGGGGAUGACGUCAAGUCAUCAUGGCCCUUACGAGUAGGGCUACACACGUGCUACAAUGGCGCAUACAAAGAGAAGCGAACUCGCGAGAGUAAGCGGACCUCACAAAGUGCGUCGUAGUCCGGAUUGGAGUCUGCAACUCGACUCCAUGAAGUCGGAAUCGCUAGUAAUCGUGGAUCAGAAUGCCACGGUGAAUACGUUCCCGGGCCUUGUACACACCGCCCGUCACACCAUGGGAGUGGGUUGCAAAAGAAGUAGGUAGCUUAACCUUCGGGAGGGCGCUUACCACUUUGUGAUUCAUGACUGGGGGUGAAGUCGUAA
rnacentral:rRNA from 1 species